rnacentral:rRNA from 1 species
UACAGAGGGUGCGAGCGUUGUUCGGAAUUAUUGGGCGUAAAGCGCUUGUAGGCGGCACGUCAAGUCGCGUGUGAAAUCCCCAGGCUUAACCUGGGAAGUGCGCGCGAAACUGACGAGCUUGAGUGCCGGAGAGGGUCGCGGAAUUCCCGGUGUAGAGGUGAAAUUCGUAGAUAUCGGGAGGAACACCGGUGGCGAAGGCGGCGAUCUGGGUAGAUACUGACGCUGAGGUGCGAAAGCGUGGGGAGCAAACAGG